GGCAUAUCGUGGAUGCCUCGACACACUGAUAGGGACGUACUAGACAACGAAACGCUAUGGCGAGCUGUCAUGAUGCUGUGACCCAUAGAUAUCCCUGGAGUAAACUCCAAAGUUAUAUAAUCUACCCAGUGAACUGAAACAUCUAAGUAACUGGAGGAAUAGACAUCAACCGAGAUUUUGCUAGUAGUGGUGAGCGAACGUGAAAUAGGCCCUAUAUUCUUGAUAACACUUUAAUACUUAAAUAGGUGGAAUCCUAUACCAUAGAAG
rnacentral:rRNA from 1 species